rnacentral:rRNA from 1 species
GAUGAACGCUGGCGGCGUGCCUAAUACAUGCAAGUCGAGCGAACGGACGAGAAGCUUGCUUCUCUGAUGUUAGCGGCGGACGGGUGAGUAACACGUGGAUAACCUACCUAUAAGACUGGGAUAACUUCGGGAAACCGGAGCUAAUACCGGAUAAUAUUUUGAACCGCAUGGUUCAAAAGUGAAAGACGGUCUUGCUGUCACUUAUAGAUGGAUCCGCGCUGCAUUAGCUAGUUGGUAAGGUAACGGCUUACCAAGGCAACGAUGCAUAGCCGACCUGAGAGGGUGAUCGGACACACGGGAACUGAGACACGGCCCAGACUCCUACGGGAGGCAGCAGUAGGGAAUCUGCCGCAAGGGGCGAAAGCCUGACGGAGCAACGCCGCGUGAGUGAUGAAGUUCUUCGGAUCGUAAAACUCUGUUAUGAGGGAAGAACAGAUGUGUAAGUAACCGUGCACAUCUUGACGGUACCUAAUCAGAAAGCCACGGCGAACUACGU